rnacentral:rRNA from 1 species
UACGUAGGGUGCGAGCGUUAAUCGGAAUUACUGGGCGUAAAGGGCGCGUAGGCGGUUCGAUAAGUCCCGUGUGAAAUCCCUCGGCUCAACUGAGGAAUGGCACGGGAAACUGACGGGCUUGAGUUCGGGAGAGGGAGGCGGAAUUCCGGGUGUAGCGGUGAAAUGCGUAGAUAUCCGGAGGAACACCGGUGGCGAAGGCGGCUUCCUGGACCGACACUGACGCUGAGGCGCGAAAGCUAGGGGAGCAAACGGG